UACGUAGGGUGCAAGCGUUAAUCGGAAUUACUGGGCGUAAAGCGUGCGCAGGCGGUUAUGCAAGACAGAUGUGAAAUCCCCGGGCUCAACCUGGGAACUGCAUUUGUGACUGCAUGACUUGAGUACGGCAGAGGGGGAUGGAAUUCCGCGUGUAGCAGUGAAAUGCGUAGAUAUGCGGAGGAACACCGAUGGCGAAGGCAAUCCCCUGGACCUGUACUGACGCUCAUGCAUGAAAGCGUGGGGAGCAAACAGG
rnacentral:rRNA from 1 species